rnacentral:ncRNA from 1 species
AGUGAAAUCGAGUAGGUCGGAGCACGUGAAACUUUGACUGAAUAUAGGUGGACCAUCAUCUAAGGCUAAAUACUCCCAACUGACCGAUAGUGAACCAGUACCGUGAGGGAAAGGCGAAAAGAACCCCUGUGAGGGGAGUGAAAUAGAACCUGAAACCGUGUACGUACAAGCAGUAGGAGCCCUUCGAGGGUGACUGCGUACCUUUUGUAUAAUGGGUCAGCGACUUAUAUUUUGUAGCGAGGUUAACCGAUUAGGGUAGCCGUAGGGAAACCGAGUCUUAACUGGGCGAAUAGUUGCAAGGUAUAGACCCGAAACCCGGUGAUCUAGCCAUGGGCAGGUUGAAGGUUGAGUAACAUCAACUGGAGGACCGAACCCACUAACGUUGAAAAGUUAGGGGAUGACCUGUGGCUAGGAGUGAAAGGCUAAUCAAACCGGGAGAUAGCUGGUUCUCCCCGAAAUCUAUUUAGGUAGAGCCUCGGACGAAUACUUACGGGGGUAGAGCACUGUUAAGGCUAGGGGGUCAUCCCGACUUACCAACCCUUUGCAAACUCCGAAUACCGUAAAGUACUAUCCGGGAGACACACGGCGGGUGCUAACGUCCGUCGUGAAGAGGGAAACAACCCAGACCGCCAGCUAAGGUCCCAAAGUCAUAGUUAAGUGGGAAACGAUGUGGAAAGGCCCAGACAGCCAGGAGGUUGGCUUAGAAGCAGCCAUCCUUUAAAGAAAGCGUAAUAGCUCACUGGUCGAGUCGGUCUGCGCGGAAGAUGUAACGGGGCUAAACUAUGCACCGAAGCUGCGGAUUCAUCUUAGGAUGAGUGGUAGGGGAGCGUUCUGUAAGC